AUAUCUGUCCAGUACAUAGAUGCAAUCAAUCAUCCGGGGAACACCUGAUCUUGGAAGCCAAGUAUGGCUGGGGCCUAGUUCUCAGAUGGUAGGCCGCCUGAAACUACCAGGUGCUGUAAAUU
rnacentral:rRNA from 1 species